UCAGACGAUGCGUCAUGCAUAUCAAUAAGCGGAGGAAAAGAAACUAACAAGGAUUCCCCUAGUAACGGCGAGUGAAGCGGGAAGAGCUCAAAUUUGAAAUCUUAAAGGGUUUCCCUUUACGAAUUGUAGUUUAAAGAAGUGUUUUCUGUUGAGGUUUUGGUAAAAGUUCUUUGGAAUAGGACAAUCAUAGAGGGUGAGAAUCCCGUAUUUGACCUUUACUUUCAACUUUGUGAUACACUUUCAAAGAGUCGGAUUGUUUGGGAAUGCAGUCCAAAAUGGGUGGUAAAUUUCAUCUAAAGCUAAAUAUUGGCGAGAGACCGAUAGCGAACAAGUACCGUGAGGGAAAGAUGAAAAGGACUUUGAAAAGAGAGUUAAACAGUACGUGAAAUUGUCAAAAGGGAAGCGUUUGACACCAGUGUUGUUUUUCUGAAAAUCAAUUAAAGAACUGUUUAUGCUAAGCUGUUUAGACUUUAUCAGCUAUCUGUUUAGUUUUGAGCUUUUCUUUAAUGCACUCUUCAGUUAACAAGUCAACAUCAAUUUCUUUUGCUGUAAAAAAGCUUGAGGAAGGUGGCUUGAGAUUCGUCUUAAGUGUUUAUAGCCUCUUGCCUAUGCAGUCGGAGAGAUUGAGGUCUGCAGCGUAGAUCCUUCGGGGCUAAAUGCAUUUGUGCUAAGUUAUAGCAUUUCAUAGACAACUUGUUGACUAUGAUUUGUCUUGUAGCUUACUCGCUUAUGUUAUUUUACCUACGCUUAGGAUGUUGAAUCUGUGCGAGACUAC
rnacentral:rRNA from 1 species